AUUUGACUAAAGUUUGUCUACGAUUUGUUUGGAUUAGGAUUUUGAAUUUGAUUAAGGUUUAUCUAGGAUUUAUUUAGAUUUGACUAGAAUUUAUUUAAUAUUUGACUAGAAUUUGUUUAGAAUUUGUUAGGAUUUGACUAGGAUUUUUCUAGAAUUUAUCUAGGAUUUGAUUAAUAUUUGACUAGGAUUUGAUUAGAAUUCAAUUAGGUUUUUUUUAGG
rnacentral:lncRNA from 1 species